rnacentral:rRNA from 1 species
CCCUUAGAUGUUCUGGGCCGCACGCGUGCUACACUGAGUGGAUCAGCGGGUCAGGUUGCGCGAAAGCGUUUCCUAAUCUUUAAAUCCGCUCGUGAUGGGGAUUGACGGUUGCAAUUUUCUGUCAUGAACGAGGAAUACCUUGUAAGCGCGGGUCAUCAUCCCGCGCUGAAUACGUCCCUGCCCUUUGUACACACCGCCCGUCGCUCCUACCGAUUGAAUGGUCCGGUGAAAUCUUCGGAUUGCUGGAUAGGAGGGCAACCACCUAUCUGCGAGAAGUUGCUUGAACCUUAUCAUUUAGAGGAAGGAGAAGUCGUAACA